rnacentral:rRNA from 1 species
CCUACGGGAGGCAGCAGUGAGGAAUAUUGGUCAAUGGGCGCGAGCCUGAACCAGCCAAGUCGCGUGAGGGAUGACGGUCCUACGGAUUGUAAACCUCUUUUGCCGGGGAGCAAGCGUGCGUUCGUGAACGCGCGUCGAGAGUACCCGGAGAAAAAGCAUCGGCUAACCCCGUGCCAGCAGCAGCGGUAAUACGGGGGAUGCGAGGGUUAUCCGGAUUUAUUGGGUUUAAGGGGUGCGUAGGGGGGAUGCCAAGUCAGCGGUAAAAAGGCGGGGCUAAACGGCGUCGGGCCGUUGAAACUGGCGUUCUUGAGUGGGCGAGAGGUAUGCGGAAUGCGUGGUGUAGCGGUGAAAUGCAUAGAUAUCACGCAGAACUCCGAUGGCGAAGGCAGCAUACCGGCGCCCUACUGACGCUGAGGCACGAAAACGUGGGUAUCGAACAGGAUUAGAUACCCCUGUAGUC